UUUCUGGGCGACGGACGUAUGUUUUGUGAGUGUAUACAGUGUGUCACAUGCCGCGGGAAAGCUUACGCCUUCAUCGGAACGAUUUACUUUGGAGGGUGAAGGACUAUCACGCGACGCUGAAAACUGCGGGGAGCUGGUACAUGGCCGCGUGAAGCGCCCACGCAAGAGGCGUGCGCGGCAUGCGCGGCGUGUGUGACGUGUGUGACCGGCGCAGCGUGUGCGACGUGCGCGGCGGGCUCGGGCGGCGCGGCGCUGUGCUGCUGUUGCUGCUGCUAGUGCUCGCGGCAGAGUUGGGCUCGGCAGGUGGCACCGGCGGUUCAGGGGGCCAGGCGAGGGGUGCAGGGGGCGCGGCGCCAGAGUUCGCGCGCGGGCAGCGCCGGUG